rnacentral:rRNA from 1 species
UACAGAGGUCUCAAGCGUUGUUCGGAUUCAUUGGGCGUAAAGGGCGCGUAGGCGGCGGGGUCAGUCGGGUGUGAAAUCUUGGGGCUUAACCCCGAAACGGCACUCGAAACUGCCCGGCUGGAGGGCCGGAGAGGAGAUCGGAAUUCACGGUGUAGCAGUGAAAUGCGUGGAGAUCGUGAGGAAGACCCGUGGCGAAGGCGGAUCUCUGGACGGCUAACUGACGCUGAGGCGCGAAGGCCAGGGGAGCAAACGGG